rnacentral:rRNA from 1 species
GACAGAGGGUGCAAACGUUGUUCGGAAUUACUGGGCGUAAAGCGCGUGUAGGCGGCUAGGUAAGUCAGGCGUGAAAUCCCACGGCUCAACCGUGGAAGUGCACCUGAUACUGCAUAGCUAGAGUCCUGGAGAGGAAGGUGGAAUGCUUGGUGUAGAGGUGAAAUUCGUAGAUAUCAAGCGGAACACCGGUGGCGAAGGCGGCCUUCUGGACAGUGACUGACGCUGAGACGCGAAAGCACGGGGAGCAAACAGG